GCCUGGCUGGCUCAGUGAGUGGAGCAUCUGACUCUUGAUCUCAGGGUCAUGAGUUCAAGCCUCAUGUUGGCUG
rnacentral:tRNA from 1 species